GGUGCCCUCUCUAGUUUUAUAAAUAGGAGGCGGCAGAUUGGGUUAUUCAUUCAGUCCAGACAACCCUAUCCACUUCCUCUCUUAUGACCCUAAGAUUUAGGACAAUGUUUGGUCUUUUUAAGACAAGCUUGUUCUAAUAGAAAAUAGAUUUUAAGAGCUCUUGAAGAAGGUGGUCAAGACCAGAAGAAGGUUCUGAUAGAUCCAGACUCAAGUC
rnacentral:lncRNA from 1 species